CCGGGUGUAGCGCAGUUUGGUAGCGCGCCUGGUUUGGGACCAGGAUGUCGCAGGUUCAAAUCCUGCCACUCGGAC
rnacentral:tRNA from 1 species